CAAGGUUGUUGCAGAGCCAUUUAGAGAGUUAAUGAGAAUUAUAAUUUAUUGAACUUAUAUAGUGCUUUUCAAAGAAUCUCUAAGCACUUCAAAACACAAAAGAAGAGAUUUAGAAAAACAACAUCACAACAUCAUGAGAUGGACAGUCAUUAGAAAGUUCAUGGCUUGACCAGUCAUCUGUAUCGAGACUCAGGAUAAGACCCAGAUGCAAACAGUUCGAAUCACAGAUGUUUUUUUUUGAAAACGGGACAGGCAAACGACAGGUCAAGGGCAGGCAGAGAACAGCCUCAAUUCGUCAGGACAUGGACUCUAAAAGGUGUUGAAAGCGUUCCACAGGGAUGCUGGCCCAUGUUGACUCCAAUGCUUCAGUUGUGUCAAGUUGACUGGAUGUCCUUUGGGUGGUGGACCAUUCUUGAUACACAUGAGAAACUGUUGAGCAUGAAAAACCCAGCAGCGUUGCAGUUCUUGACACAAAUCGGUGCGCCUGGCACCUACUACCAUACCCCAUUCAAAGGCGCUUAAAUCGUUUGUGUUGCCCAUUCACCCUCUGAGUAGCACACAUACACAAUCCAUGUCUCAAUUGUCUGAAGGCUUUAAAAAAGUAUCAUCCCUUCAUCUACACUGAUUGAAGUGAAUUUAACAAGUGGCAUCAAUAAGGGAUCAUAGCUUUCACCUGGAUUCGCCUGGUAAGUCUAUGUCACGGAAAGAGCAGGUGUCCUUAAUGUUUUGUACAGUAAAUGUACAGUAUAUCAUACUUUAUUUGUUUCUACUUUACAGACAUACAUUUUCUUUAUGUUGUCCUCAAAAUCUGUAGUAGACAAACCGGUAUACAUGUAAAAUAUAUAGGUUUACCAAACGUUUAAGUGAUUGUCAAUUAAGAGAUGUCACAUUAAGUAAUAGUCAAAUGUCUUCUAAUAAAAAAAGAAGAGAAUCAUAUCAAAAGUAAUGUGAGCAUUGCAUUGUGAAAGGUGUGAUGCCACUCCUUGCUCUGUCUACUGGGUUUUGCUGUGCUUACUUCCUGCAGGAGAUUGGUGGGCGGAGUAGGAGAGGUGGGCGGAGCUGGGCGGGUCGUAAGCUCAGCUGUGGCAUAAAGCCACUGUUUCCCCAUUCAACAAGAGAUUCCUCUCUCCAUGCAUUCCUUUAAUUGUUUUGUUGUGGCUUUGUCAGUUGACACCUAAUUUACUGACC
rnacentral:lncRNA from 1 species